GAAUGCCAGGGCGAUCUGGCUGUGACAUCUGUCUCCCCACUGAUCAUCAGGGUUGAUUUGGCUGAUCUGGCUGGCUAGGUGGGUGUCCCCUUCCUCCUUCACCACUCUGUGUGAGUCCCUCUGGAAGCUGUGCACUGGGUUGAAGAGAACGAUCACCCCAGAGAGAGGAGGUCAAGGGUAUAUGAGUAGCUGCGCUCCCCUGCUAAAGCCUCCAAAAAAUCUAGCUCUCAAGUUGUAAAAAUAUAUCUCAUAUAAAUACCAUUAGGAUUAAAUGAGUUAAUAGUUAUAAAGCUUAAAACAAUGUGUGACAUUAGAUCUACUAGUCUCAAUUUAU
ensembl:misc_RNA 7SK 7SK RNA